UACCAGCACCCCGAGUGGUCGGGACGUUUAUUGGGCCUAAAGCAUCCGUAGCCGGUUCUACAAGUCUUCCGUUAAAUCCAGCUGCUUAACAGAUGGGCUGCGGAAGAUACUAUGGAGCUAGGAGGCGGGAGAGGCAAGCGGUACUCGAUGGGUAGGGGUAAAAUCCGUUGAUCCAUUGAAGACCCCCAGUGGCGAAGGCGGCUUGCCAGAACGCGCUCGACGGUGAGGGAUGAAAGCUGGGGGAGCAAACCGG
rnacentral:rRNA from 1 species